rnacentral:lncRNA from 1 species
CUCUGCGUGCGCCGGAGGCUGCCGUGGCGGGUGGGCCGCCUGACUUCUCCUCCCGGCCAGUUCUCGAGCGCCUCACCGGGCCUCGCCCUGCAGCCUCGCUCUCGCUGGCGCUGCGCGGCCUAGGGGACUGGGCUGCUGGCCUCCGGGUGCGGGGUGGGGGCAGGCUCCGACCUGGGGCGUCCUGGCCGCGCGAGCCGCGGGAUGGGGGCCCGGGCCGCGGAGGAGGCGCCGCUGGUGUGUCCCUUGGUGGAGAGGGCGCUGCCGGCCCUGCGCGGUUUCCAGCCAGGAAGCUUCGGGAAGCCUGGACGUCUGCUCACUGGAGAUGACACGUGCGUGGGGUGUUGGCAUUCUUGUUAUUUAACACGGGAAGGAGGUGACUUCGCCUGUGAUGGACUUCCAGUGUGAGCACUGGCCAGAGUGACCAGGCUGACCAGCACCAGCCCUGAUCCAGGUAAGAGGUGAGGCGGAGGCUUGCCCUCCUUCCCUGCCUGCCGGGUGCGUGUGAGCGGCUGCCCUGCGGAUGCUGUCCUGGACCUGUUGGCACCACAGACAGUUGCUCUGCUGUGCCUGUGGCCUCGGGGCAAAGAGAAAGUGGCGAUUUCUACACUCAGUGCUCGGGAACCAGUGGGCACUGAGAAUGGUUUAUGGCCUGACAUUACUUGCAACCAAAGCCAGGCAGCAUUUGGAUUUUCGCUUUUGGAAACCACCUUACCUGGUUUGCUCCAUGAGGGAGGGGCAGCAACAUCGCUGGGAACCCUGAGGUGUAGAUAUGUAUAAAUGAGCUGUGUGUGUAUCUGAAGCUCGGGCACUUGUGGGGUUACCAGGAGUGUGCGUCUCACUCCCAGGCCUCGUUCUGGAAACGAUUCUGUAGGUCUGUCUGGGAGGCCUUAGGCAAGUUUGAUUAAGAACAGUCGAGCUGGAUAAACAGGCUGUUCCUUGUCCAGCACUAGUCAUCCCAGGGGGGCGGGGGCGGGGCUGCAACUCCUGUGCACAAAGGAAGGGCCCUGGGUAGGGGUCAGGAGCUGCCUUGCCCAGAGAUGUGUCUGGGUCACUUUGGAAACAGGAAUCCUCUCCCCAAAAUGGGUAGCAAUGGGGGUACAGAGGCCAAAGACGCAGCUGCAUGUCCUGCAGUGCCUGGGACGCCCCGUAGUGAAGAGUGAUGUGGCCCAAAUGUCAGCAGUGCCAGUGUCAGACUCCUGCUAAGAGACAGUAUCAAGAAAGAUAACUUCAAAAUACACUUUCUGGAGGCCUGGCGCGGUGGCUCAGGCCUGUAAUCCCAGCACUCUGGGAGGCCAAUGCAUGUGGAUCACCUGAGGUCAGGAGUUCGAGACCAGCCUGGCCAACUGCCUGAAACCCCAUCUCUACUAAAAAUACAAAAAUUAGCCAGGUGUGGUGGCGCAAGCCUGUAAUCCCAGCUAUUUGGGAGGCUGAGGCAGGAGAAUCGCUUGAACCCGGGAGGCAGAGGUUGCAGUGAGCCGAGAUCGCACCACUGCACUCCAGCCUGGACAACAGAGUGGGACUCUGUCUCAAAAAAAAAAAAAAAAAAAAAAGUACAGUUUCGGGAUUUCAUAAAUUGGGUUCCCUGAGGGUCAUUUGGUGAAUCCGGGUUAAAGAACCCUGGUCUGCAUCACUGUCCUUGUUUGUUUUUCAGAUGCAGAGGCCAGGAUGUGGGCCCAGCCCUGUGCCAGGAGGCUGGCUGGAAUAAAGGUACAGAUAGAGGCCUCACCCCCUCUGGGACCACUGGCACUCAGGGUGUUUGCAGCCUCAGAGCCCACCUGCCCCCAGGGCCACAGCUGCAUCUCCUGCCCUGCUGUCAUUACAGGGAUGGGCAGGCUGGCAUGGGGGCAGCCGCUGCCCCUGCCUGGGUGUUGCUGUGUAUUCCUGCCGGCCAGGGGCCACUGCCAGGACCACGCCUCCCUUUUCAUAUCCCGAUUCUUAAGUUCUGCUAUUGUGGUAUUCUGGUGGAGAAAAAAGAACCGCGUGGCUGUUUUUGAACUGCCUGGAACCUAAGACCCUGAAUUCUUUUCCCCCCCAAGGGGAAAAUCUAUAUGGAAAACAUUUAUUUUAAAAUACAGGAUGAAGUGAAUUAAAAGAUUUAAAUGCACAUUUCUUUAAGGAUAAUAUUUCUGUGUUGGCAAAAUUUGAGAGUAAAUUGGUCUUGAAUGGAAUGGAUUGUCUUGACUCACACAUUGCGGAGCAGAGCCCGCCCUGAAGAAAGGUGUUGCUGUGGUGGGAUCUUCCCACGAGGGUCCUUGCCUGUUCUCCUAGGGGAUGGUUGCUGGGUGCCCUGGGCUACUGGGGAGAGCGUACGGGGCUGGAGAAGAUGGCCAUUCCUGGGCUGUUUCCUAGGGAAUGAGUUGUACAUCUCAUGGCUGGAUUUUGUAAAAUCAGUUUUUAAAAUACCGCAUAUAUCUGUUUUCUUACUGGAACACCUUUUUCUUGGUCUGUUGUGCACAGCCCAGGUUUGGGGGGUACUGGUCAUUGACUGUUUCAGAAGCCGCUGUGUUUGGGGAACUGCCCUGGCGGCUUCAGAGGUGUGUGUGGGUUGAAGGGCAGGCAGCUCUGCAAUAGACCUCACCUUGGACUAACAC